GCAAACAAGCUCACCCCUGGGGCACCUCCUGAUGCCCCGGAGACAGGGCUUCUCAGACUGCAGGACAGACUCCUGGGACUCACCUGGUGAUCUUUUUCGAAUGCAGAUUGAUGCCACUACUUGCUUGAGAGAGAGAGAGAGAGAGAGACAGACAGACAGCGAGAGGGAGAGAGAGAAGACAAUAAUGUUCAAUAUAUAUAUGGUCAUACCCGGAGCCCUAAACAAGACUUUCGAAAAGAUGCUCUGCAGUAAACUUGCAUUACAUUUGCAAACAGAAAAAAAUAUUAUUUUGGAGAAAAGGAUCUAAGUGCUUCAUGUAAUGGCUAUAUUCAGAUAUAUUUGUCUUUUCUGAGAAGAAAGCCAGCAGUCCACCCAGAUAAUAUCAAGAAGCUGAAACCCACCAAAUCACUGCAUCUGGACAAUGAGAUGCCAGACUCCUCACCGUCAUGGUCAUAAUUGCUUAACUGACCACUUGCUUCCUGUUGACCAACUCCUCUUCCUUACUGCUCCCUAAUUCCUGUUUUCCCACACAAGGUUACAUUUCUUCCCUGCUAUAUA